UUGACCUCGGAUCAGGUAGGGCUACCCGCUGAACUUAAGCAUAUCAAUAAGCGGAGGAAAAGAAACCAACAGGGAUUGCCUC
rnacentral:rRNA from 1 species